rnacentral:rRNA from 1 species
UAAGGAAUAUUGGACAAUGGAGGCAACUCUGAUCCAGCCAUGCCGCGUGAAGGAAUAAGGCCCUAUGGGUUGUAAACUUCUUUUAGACGGGACAAAACCCCUUUACGUGUAAAGGGUUGAUGGUACUGUCAGAAUAAGCAUCGGCUAACUUCGUGCCAGCAGCCGCGGUAAUACGAAGGAUGCAAGCGUUAUCCGGAAUUAUUGGGUUUAAAGGGUGCGUAGGCGGACUAAUAAGUCAGUGGUGAAAGCCUGCAGCUUAACUGCAGAAUUGCCAUUGAUACUGUUAGGCUUGAGUACAGUUGAGGUAGGCCGAAUGUGUCAUGUAGCGGUGAAAUGCUUAGAUAUGACACAGAACACCGAUUGCGAAGGCAGCUUGCUAAGCUGUAACUGACGCUGAGGCACGAAAGCGUGGGGAGCAAACA